rnacentral:rRNA from 1 species
UAGAGAUAGGCAAAUCCGUCUCUCACAUAGCCUGAGAUCCGAUGCGUACCCCUCACGGGGGAAAUCAGUGAUCCUAUGCUGCCGAGAAAAGCAUCGACGCGAGGUUUUAGUCACCCGUACCCCAAACCGACUCAGGUGGGUAGGUAGAGAAUACCAAGGAGAUCGAGAGAAUCGUGGUUAAGGAACUCGGCAAAAUGCCCCCGUAACUUCGGGAGAAGGGGGGCCGGACGGGUGAAGGGAUUUACUCCUGGAGCCUAGAAGGCCGCAGAGACCAGUGGGAAGCGACUGUUUACUAAAAACACAGGUCCGUGCGAGGACGCAAGUCGGUGUAUACGGACUGACGCCUGCCCGGUGCUGGAAGGUUAAGAGGAAGGGUCAAACUUCGGUUGAAGCUCUGAAUUUAAGCCCCAGUAAACGGCGGUGGUAACUAUAACCAUCCUAAGGUAGCGAAAUUCCUUGUCGGGUGAGUUCCGACCUGCACGAAUGGCGUAACGACUUCCCAGCUGUCUCAACCGCGAACUCGGCGAAAUUGCACUACGAGUAAAGAUGCUCGUUACGCGCAGCAGGACGGAAAGACCCCGUGACCUUUACUACAGCUUGGUAUUGGUGUUCGGUGUGGCUUGUGUAGGAUAGGUGGGAGACUUUGAAGCUGGCACGCUAGUGUCGGUGGAGUCGUUGUUGAAAUACCACUCUGGUCACUCUGGAUAUCUAACUACGAACCGUAAUCCGGUUCUGGGACAGUGCCUGGUGGGUAGUUUAACUGGGGCGGUUGCCUCCCAAAAAGUAACGGAGGCGCCCAAAGGUUCCCUCAACCUGGUUGGCAAUCAGGUGUCGAGUGUAAGUGCACAAGGGAGCUUGACUGUGAGAGUGACGGCUCGAGCAGGGACGAAAGUCGGGACUAGUGAUCCGGCAGUGGCUUGUGGAAGCGCUGUCGCUCAACGGAUAAAAGGUACCUCGGGGAUAACAGGCUGAUCUUGCCCAAGAGUCCAUAUCGACGGCAUGGUUUGGCACCUCGAUGUCGGCUCGUCGCAUCCUGGGGCUGGAGUAGGUCCCAAGGGUUGGGCUGUUCGCCCAUUAAAGCGGUACGCGAGCUGGGUUUAGAACGUCGUGAGACAGUUCGGUCCCUAUCCGCUGCGCGCGUAGGAAAUUUGAGAAGAUCUAUCCCUAGUACGAGAGGACCGGGAUGGACGAACCUCUGGUGUGUCAGUUGUUCCGCCAGGAGCACCGCUGAUUAGCUACGUUCGGACCGGAUAACCGCUGAAAGCAUCUAAGCGGGAAGCCGUCUUCAAGAUGAGAUUUCCAUCCCUUAGGGGGAGAGGCUCCCAGCUAGACGACUGGGUUGAUAGGCAGGAUGUGGAAGUGGGACUAAAGACCCACGGAGCUGACCUGUACUAAUAAGCCGAUAACUUGAU